rnacentral:snRNA from 2 species
GCGCUCACUUCGGAAGCAUCUCUACUAAAAUUGGAACAAUACAGGGAAGAUUAGCGUGACCCC